rnacentral:rRNA from 1 species
UACGUAGGGGGCAAGCGUUAUCCGGAUUCACUGGGCGUAAAGGGAGCGCAGGCGGCAUGGCAAGUCUGAUGUGAAAACCCGGGGCCCAACCCCGGGAGUGCAUUGGAAACUGCCAGGCUGGAGUGUCGGAGGGGUAAGCGGAAUUCCUAGUGUAGCGGUGAAAUGCGUAGAUAUUAGGAGGAGCACCAGUGGCGAAGGCGGCUUACUGGACGACUACUGACGCUGAGGCUCGAAAGCGUGGGGAGCAAACAGG